AUUGAACGCUGGCGGCAUGCCUUACACAUGCAAGUCGAACGGCAGCACGGGUGCUUGCACCUGGUGGCGAGUGGCGAACGGGUGAGUAAUACAUCGGAACAUGUCCUGUAGUGGGGGAUAGCCCGGCGAAAGCCGGAUUAAUACCGCAUACGAUCUACGGAUGAAAGCGGGGGACCUUCGGGCCUCGCGCUAUAGGGUUGGCCGAUGGCUGAUUAGCUAGUUGGUGGGGUAAAGGCCUACCAAGGCGACGAUCAGUAGCUGGUCUGAGAGGACGACCAGCCACACUGGGACUGAGACACGGCCCAGACUCCUACGGGAGGCAGCAGUGGGGAAUUUUGGACAAUGGGCGAAAGCCUGAUCCAGCAAUGCCGCGUGUGUGAAGAAGGCCUUCGGGUUGUAAAGCACUUUUGUCCGGAAAGAAAUCCUUGGCCCUAAUACGGUCGGGGGAUGACGGUACCGAAAGAAUAAGCACCGGCUAACUACGUG
rnacentral:rRNA from 1 species